UGCCCGGCCUUCCAGCCCCCCACGGGCGGGGGGACGUGCCGCUGGCACAGGCUGAACAAUAUCUGAAAUAUCUGACUCGUCUGCCCGUGCCCAGGGGUUACAACAAGGAAAAACUGUUUAAACCUUUUCUGUGGAUUCCAGAAUCCCUUCGGCCAAGCUGGCUGUGUAAGCUGAAGGAUUCUCAGGGUGCUCUGUGUGAGCACAGAGGAAAACCACGGGUCAUGUCUGAUUAUUAAAGGUGUCAUGUUGACAGAUGUCUUCAUUUCAAUAUUAUUGCUAUUUUUAAAAGAAAGAUAAUACACAUUCUGUGUUGGUGUAGGUGAAUGUAUACCUGCUAAAUGAUGUUGAAAAAGCAGUCACGAACACCAUGAUGAUCUGUUGUUUUGGUGGGACAAGGGCGAUCCUUUGGAGCUCACGUUCAGAUACAAAUGUAUGAGUUUGUUGCCCUCUAGGAGUGAGUCCCAAAAGGCAAACAAGGCACAAUAGUGAAUUUCUGAUCUCUAAUACACACACAGUGAUACAAAGCCUGAGAUUCAGGGGACUCUCUCCAUUUCUCGUGACUCUCUGAGGCUUACCAGAGUGCUGGGGGAAAUAUUUACCUUUUAAAUCCAGCUAUGAAAACCCAUUGAUAAAAUCUGACAAUGCCAGCUUUCAAAUAAAAGGACAGCUCUAAAACUGGCAGGUGUCAUGAAAUGAAAGUAGAAUCUUGGCAGCAGAAGUCAGGAA